UGUUGUGUGGGAUGAGAUGGUGCCUCAGAGGCUGGUUCUUGUGCUGCCUACCCCCUCAAGGGAAGCAGGCCGCUUGCAUUUAGCCUCCGUCCGGCGCCUUCUAACGGGCGCGGGAGGACAGCGUAGCACCCCCCGUGUUCCACCGAGCCUUCAUCGGUCGCGCGGCCCGCGGGGAAGUGCGAUGCUCUUGGACCCAGCGCACGCCGCGGACGGGGACUCGCGCCCCAGUCCUGAUAGGAGCUUCGAUAUAACGUAUGACGGCCGCUCCCGCCCCUUGACCGCCCCGGCGGCGCANGGGCGGACGCGCGACGUCGCGGAGGAUUGCUACCUGGUUGAUCCUGCCAGUA
rnacentral:misc_RNA from 1 species